ensembl:lncRNA
CUAAAACAGCACGAUAAGGUGUAGUAGGAGUAAAAUAUAUACGAUUGAUGAUUUUGAGAUUAAAGUCAAAAUAAUAUUUUGAGAGGAAGAAACUCGAAUUACACCUGUUUCCAGAAAAACUGCCACGGCUGCUCUGCAAAAUACUUCGUGUGGACGAGACGGCGAAAGCGUCCUUUGGAAUCAGUUUACUGUGAUUCUCCUUCAUCACGUAAUCACGAUGCGUGAUAGUGGUUUGUCUUGAAAGUGCGACUGUAAUUGUAACCCCGAAAAUACUAUUUCGAGUUCAUUAACAAGACGACAUUGAUUUGUGUGUGUGUGUGUGUGUGUGUGUAAUUUUGUAAUUGGCCGUCAUACUGCUCUAAUGUGAAAUCCGGCUGUAAAAGGAGAUGAUGGGCUACUUACCGCUGCUGGCGGCGAUCCCAGCUUCUCUUGUUGACCUUCAGCCUAACGAUAAAUGGAUCCCCCCCUCUCUUUCUCUCCGUCUUCAUCUUGGCUGUAGCAGAAAUAAUCCCCCUGAUCUUCCUUCUUCGCCUGCCGCAGAUUUAAGGAAAAGUCUCCAAGAACCGGUCAGGUGAUACACAGUGUCGGCCGUCAGCAGUCCCGUUACCGUCGUCGGUGCAGGAUUUCCGCGCGAACACCAUGUUGGUGAACAUCGCGGUGUGUGCACAUCCGUUAAAAGUUACUUACUUGUUGAAAGUUACUUUAUGUUGGGUGUUUUUCCUGUACCCUGCCGCAUCCUUUAUAACAUAUUCAGCUGUUUAAUGUCAUCAGUCUCCACUUUUGUUUUCUUUUUCUUUUCAAGGGUUUUACUGGCUGGAGCAAUUUUCUGUUAGGAAACCAACACUAAACUGGGAUAAAUGUAACUACUGUUGCUGAUUACUUACUUAUUGAUUAUCGUACUGUUACUUAUGCUUGCUUUGAGCUCUGUGUUGUUUAUUCUUUGAAAAAAACAAAAACAAAACAACAGCACAUCAUAACCUGCCAAGUCAUCAAAGACAAAUAACAAAGGUUUGAGUCUCACUUUUGCUUUUACAUCAUGGCCGAACUACCCUUAAACUUAAAAAAACAAAAAACCAAGUGACACAGUGUUGUUUUCAUCUUCUUUCUGCCUGCACUGUGACUGCGCACUGCAGUGUUGUCAUGGGCCAUGCUUAAUGUUACUGAUGUGCAGAUAGAGACGUUAAGAAGGAGAAAUGAGAAAGUCUGUUUGUUCAUGUUGUUUGUGUGAAGAAGAAAAAUCAGCAUUUGCAAUAAAACGCUGUUGAUAUAAGUACAGGUUGUUGUUAGUCUUUGGUUGAGUGCAGUGUUUAAAUUAUAAACUUAAAAAAAAUUGGUAAAUUUAAAAAAAGGAAAUGCGUUCUUCUAAAGAAAAUGAAUUUAUGAUUGAAAGAAUCAUAUUGAAAGAAUCUUCUCCAAACUGCAACAUCUGUUGUUUUGCUUAUUUUGCAUCCAGAGAGAUGAGAUGUUACAGGGGAGGCGUAAUCUGUGAUCAGUGGGUUAGAUUAGUCAGAUCUAUACUUGUCCUUGCCCCUCCCUCUUUUUCCACUUUGAGCUUGGCCCGGGCGCCAGGCCCCGCCAAGCAGCCUCGGGAGUGAGCCAGUACAUACCUGAGCAUCCAGCCCUGAGGGCAUCAGCCACCUGCAGGGAGUGUGGUUAGGGGAGAUAUUUAAGUGUAUUUAAAUAUUUAAAUAUUCAUUCAGGAAUACAGAUAUUUUAACGUGACAUGAAUGGUUGGCUGCACUCAUUCUGUGAGGAUUUGCUUCCUUUUUUUCCCUUCUUUUUUUUCACAAAUAUUUUCUGUUCCCUUUCAUUUUUCCCUUCCACCAAUAACUUCCUAGAAGUUAGAAGAAAAAAAAAACGGUGCCUAUUUAUCACUUUUGAAAAAGUCAGAAAUGCUGAUGUCUGGGCUCUGAGCAAGCUUGUGUUUUGUUUUGUUUUGUUGGGUUUUUUUUAAGAAACUCCUGACAGUUGGCUGUGGAGUGGGAAGCCUUUGGCUAAUAGUUCUUAUGGAAAUACCUUAUUCAUACAAAAAUGCUAUUUUAAUAUUGUCUUAUCGUUGACAUGUAGAUUCAGAUACAUAAAUGAAAACAAAGUCUUACGUGUGUGUGUGUGUGUGUGUGUGUGUGUGUGUGUGUGUGUGUGUGUGUGUAUUUUUCAAAGAUCACUCAAGACCACUUUAAAAAUGACAAAGUCUGGCUGCUCUAAAUCAAAAUAUAAAGAAGCAAGGACUAACACAAGACUUCUCUUAAACCAAUUAAAAUCGUUUUGAGUUUGAAUAGCGCGAUUCGUUAAAUCCUGAAUCGAUUUUUAAAUAUAAAUGUAUUUUGCCAGAAACGAAUUUCAGCAAUCACCAAAUCACCAAACAGCUAAAACAGCAAACCAAAGCAGGUAAACGGAUUCUGCACAAAGACGUAAACACAAAGCGUGGACCCAAUGCAUCAGAAUCAGUGAGCUGUCGGCUUUCUCACCCGACGCCACGGACACGUACGUGGGGGUGAAAUGCUGACAUAUCACAGAUUCUGAUGCUGCAGGUUUUGUCACUCUCCAACCAAAUUGGAUUGAACCAGGAGCAAAAGAAGAUCCAAACUAUGCUUCACAUUUCGCUUCACAUAAACUUUGUCAUGAAUUCACUAUUACUUUUGCCGUUUUGCUUCCACCACGAUAAAAUCACAGUGGUUUAAGCUGGUUUACAUAUUUCAUUCUUGCAGUUUCACAGCAUCUGGUCCUGAUUGUUGUUCCUCUGUUGAGUUUUCACUCUGAAAACCAUCAAACAAGUGUUUGUUUGUGUGUUGCAGGAGUUUCGCUCUGAAUCCUGACCUCUUCCUUGUGUUUCUGUGACUCAUGGGGCCAUAAAUUGGUCACCAUGGCAACCAGCUGGAGGAUUGAAAAUCCCCCGUCUGACUUUCUGAGGUCAGCCGUCACUUGUUCACCAUCACUCUGCUCUGCAGCUGGUCUCCUUUUCCACAGUGCAGUGACACAGUGUUGAAGAGUUUGAGUGACAGCUUUACUGAGGCAAAGCAGAACAGCUGCUGAUCCUGAGCUACUCUUACAAAUGGAAGAUCAGUGAAGAUCAUAUCCUCUAUUGGCCCUGACUGAACAGCCAGAGCCUGAUGUUCUCUACAGUCAUGGCCAGAAGAAGCUCCAGUCUCAAAAAUGAAUCACAAAGCUCAAGUUUAUCUAUAUUUACAUUGUAAUAAAAAGUAUGUAAAGUGGUGAUCUGUGUUGGGGUCCUUAAUGCUGACUGAAAAUAAUUUGUGACUUCUUAAUGAAAAGUGCCUUAAAAACUCUUUAAAAAAAAAAAACUGAAAAUAUGACAGGGAGGGUUUUAUGGAAAUAAAGUAGAUGUAUUAUUUAGCUGUAUCUGAAAAUCCUUAUCAGGUGAUUAAUUGUAUUCACCCUGUUUUGGUGAACUUUGUGUAGAUUUUCACACUUUUUAUUUUAAAGCCAAUAAAUGUCUCGCCUUUUAAUUUGACUUUGUCUCUGUGUCCUGCAUUUUGUUGCGCUGUCAAGAAAGUGUUGAUCAUUUUACAACAUGAGCAUUAUUUUGUCUUUCCUGAAGGAAUAUUCAGGAAAUGAGGAUUAAAACGAGCGUGUCUGUUCAUUUCCUUUUGAUUCAUGAACAGCCUGGAUCAGGUCCAGACACAGUUUCCCAGUGUGUAACAGCCUCAGUGUUUCCUGAACUGUUUGCCUCCAAUAACCUUUGUCUCUGCUGGGCUACACUGGGAAACUCUCCACACUGACAUUCAAAGGGAAAAAGAAUCUUUUGUAGCUGUUGUUGAAUCAUUCUUGUGUGUGUCGCAUAAUUUCUACAGUUUAGACAAUUUAAUCAGUUUGUCAGCAAAUAAAACCUCUUACAUCCAUCAGAGAUGCUGG